AUUGAACGCUGGCGGCAUGCCUUACACAUGCAAGUCGGACGGCGGCACGGGGCAACCUGGUGGCGAGUGGCGAACGGGUGAGUAAUGCAUCGGAACGUACCUUUCAGUGGGGGAUAACGUAGCGAAAGUUACGCUAAUACCGCAUAUUCUGUGAGCAGGAAAGCAGGGGAUAGCAAGACCUUGCGCUGAUUGAGCGGCCGAUGUCAGAUUAGCUAGUUGGUGAGGUAAAAGCUCACCAAGGCGACGAUCUGUAGCGGGUCUGAGAGGAGGAUCCGCCACACUGGAACUGAGACACGGUCCAGACUCCUACGGGAGGCAGCAGUGGGGAAUUAUGGACAAUGGUGGCAACCCGGAUCCAGCCAUGCCGCGUGAGUGAAGAAGGCCUUCGGGUUGUAAAGCUCUUUCGGCCGGGAAGAAAUCGCACGGGCUAAUACCCUGUGUGGAUGACGGUACCGGAAUAAGAAGCACCGGCUAACUACGUGCCAGCAGCCGCGGUAAAAC
rnacentral:rRNA from 1 species